UACGUAGGGUGCGAGCGUUGUCCGGAAUUACUGGGCGUAAAGCGUGCGCAGGCGGUUCGUUGUGUCGGCGGUGAAAGCCCCGGGCUUAACCUGGGAAUGGCCGUCGAAACUGGCGAACUGGAGUGUGGCAGAGGGGGGUGGAAUUCCGCGUGGUAGCAGUGAAAUGCGUAGAUAUGUGGAGGAACACCGAUGGCGAAGGCAGCCCCCUGGGUCAAAACUGACGCUCAUGCACGAAAGCGUGGGGAGCAAACAGG
rnacentral:rRNA from 1 species